CCCUUAGAUGUUCUGGGCUGCACACGUGCUACACUGGCAGGUUCAGCGAGCUUCAUGCCCUGAUCUGAAAGGAAUGGGAAAUCUUUUCAAAACCUGCCGUGCUUGGGAUAGAUGUUUGCAAUUAUUCAUCUUCAACGAGGAUUGCCUUGUAAGCGCACGUCAUCAGCGUGCAUUGAAUACGACCCUGUAAUCUGUACACACCGCCCGUCGCUCCUACCGAUUGAAGUUUUCGGUGAGUUGACAGGAGGAUUUUUUUGAAACUGGUUCGCCAGUGGAUUUUAGAUCCAAAUGCCAACGAAUCGAUGGCUUUAGAGGAAGGAGAAGUCGUAACA
rnacentral:rRNA from 1 species